CUCGUUAGGAAACUAUUUCAUGAAUCUGAGUGAGUAAGAAGACAGCCUACAUCACAUCAGGGGUUUGGUGGGAAAGGAGACUGCGAGACAGUUUGCGUUCUCUCGUGGUAGAAUGACACAGUUUGGUAACCGGUUGACUGAAGAGGGUUGAAUGAGGACGAGGGGGUGGUGGUUGAAAGAUGGUUAAAUAUGAUCCUGAGUUUACAUGCCUGUGCUAGGAACACAGAAAAAAAGAACACAGGAAAUGCAUGGGGGAUGAGAGAAGAUGCCUUCCCACUGUCCCAAACACAGUCUGUUGCAGCCUUCUUUGGAUUCUUUAAUGUAUAGCUGUCUCUCAAGGCAUCUGAACUCUAUCCCUGUUCUUCAGACUUCCCCUUUGCCCCAUCUCCAGCUGGCUAAAUCUUCAUUUUCUCCAAGAGCCUCGUUUGAUUCCCAUAAUCUGGGUCAGAACCCUUUUCUAGAUUCUUGCCUUUCUUUUCCAUAUGUCUCACUGGAAAGUGACUGCUGUCCCAGAAAGCCUGUCAUUUCCCCGAGGGCAGGACCCAUGUCUGCCUUAUUUCCUGCUCUAGUUGCAGAACUGAGGACAUUGCCUAGCACACAGUAGGCACUCACAUUGGGCUUGGAGCAUCCACAGCUGUACCUGGAAAUAAGAGUUCACCGAUAGUUCAGAUCCAGACCCACGAGGAGAGAACAGCAUUCUGGGAUAUGUAGUUUCCAGACUGGUUGUCAUCACUUAUGGAGGGACUACUCUGACAGAAACCCGGAAGGACAACGAAGCCCACUAUUUUGCAGGAGGCAGCUGAGGACAACCUGAGGCAGCUGAGGCCUCCUGUGUUGGAUGAAGAGGGCUAAUUCUUCUGGCUUAAAGACAUAGUGCAAUAGGGACAGCUAUUCAGUGACAAGUUUCAUGAGAUCCUUUCUGCACUGUUCUCCCUGUCUGGAAAAGCCACCAGCUGGUAAUGCUAUAGUCAAGCAGUCAUUCUACAUAGCCACACCUAGUGAUGUGAUCAUUGGUAGCCUCACCUGGUUUGAAUUUCCAAAACACACUUCUGGAAAAGUAAGGGGACUGAGUUACAGAUCCAGGGUGUAGGAAAAAUCCCCCUGAAAACUGUAUCUUAGACCCCGGUGGCCAGAGAUGCAGGCGUAGUAGAAAAGCAUGAUUUGGUCUUUUCAUGGGAGCCCAGCCCAGACCCAGACGAAGCUCCUGUUCUAAGGGCCAUGAUUGAAAUUCCUCGUGGAAAGUCUGUCUUUGAGACACCAAGACACCUCAUUUAAUUCCCAUUUCCUUUUUAAGUCAGGUCCCUCCUUCCUGAGAACCACAUUUAAAGUUGCUAGCUGGCUUUCCUUCUGUUUUUGCUAUUUGUGUGCCAACUUCAAGGGUGGGGAGAGCCACGUUAAUUUAAAAAUAUAGCACAAAUAGCAAAACGAGGCUUGAUUUAAGGUAAAAACCACAGAAAGGGUUUUCCCCUUCCCUUCUGUGUUUUUCAGACUUUCCUAGAUCCACUAUUAAUUCUUCAGAGCCCAGACAUAGAAAGUGAUUGAGGCACACUGGAUGCUCUUCCAGACUAAAACAAAAAGCCUCCAGUGGACUCUCUCAUUGCCCCUUCAGACUUUAUUUUAAAGAGGGCUUAAGAAAGCUGGCCAAACUCCAUUCAUGGUAGGAUCUUGCUAAGCACCCUAGAUUUGGUGUUAUAAACUACCCUUUUGGAUCAGUUGUCCACUUGGGCAUCUUGGUUUUGGGAAUGUGGCUUUAAGAGUAGAGUUCCUAGAUCAAAUCCUGGCCUCAUUAUUUAUUAGUUUUCUGACUUUACAUCAAUGGGAAUCAUGAUUCACAAUGUUCAGUCCAUAGUGAGUCAAGGUCUAAAAAGAGCCUGGAGCAAAAGGAGCGACCAAUAGGCGGUGGCUAUUAUGAAAAUAGACCGUUUCAUCUGUCGGCUCCCUCUUUAGUCUCCAUUUCCGGUUUUGGAAAGGAAAGAAAAUUCGUUAUCUAUUUCAAGUGGAGGAUCUACCUCCAUUUUAAAUCACUCAGGGACUCACCAGAAGGGGAGGCCAGACCGCACUGAAUUUGCAAUACCCAGGCCUUUAAACCGAAUGGAAGCCCCAUUCUUGCCACUUAACAGAACACGGGCGAGCAGAUUGGGACUUGGGAAGCCUCGAAGGGAUAGCAAUUGCUCAGUCUAAAGACACAGGUCUAAGAUACGUGGGUGGGGGAAUUCACCUGAAGAAGGAAAGCCUCUGCAAGUGUCUGUAGGCAGAGCUGACAGUAGUGAAACUCCAUGCGCGUGCGGCAGCGCCCUCUGCCGGCCUCGGGGAGGGCAAAUCUGGAGCCUGGCCCCACGGCUGGUCAAAUGGGACUCCGGAUCCUUUCUGCUGCCUCCGCCCCCGCUCCGUCCCUUCCCGUGAUCGCGCAGCCUGGUCUGGGACUGGAUUCCAGGAGAGGCGUCCCCAUCCUACGCCUGAAGGCAGAGCAAGGACGCUGCUCUAAAACACCCGGUUCAUCAGCAGAGCGGAGGCUGCAGGAACCUACCCAAACCCACCUGGGGCUGCUUUUGCCUCCCGGAAACCCGGGCAGAAGCCUGCGGGGCGGUCGGAGGUGGUUUGGAAGUGGCAUCGCCUAUGGCCAAGACCGAGGGUUCUGCGGACAGAGAGGAGCCCUGGGUUCGCUUUCUGCCUCAUCCAGCUAGGUGACCUUGGGCAAGGUACUUAAAUUUCCAUGUGCCUUGUUUUCCUCAUCAAUAAGAUGGAGAGAACGCUCCCGACCUUAACGGGUUGGCUUGAGGAUUACAAGAGAACAGACAGCCUAGGUUGGGAUUCUGGCAUUGACACCAGCUAGCUGUGUGCCCUGGGGCAGGCUACUUAACCUCUCUGCCCUGGUUUCCUGCAAAAUGGGGAUCACAACGGUGCUUACCUCCGAGGGUUGUUGCCUGCAAAGCGCUUAACACUGCCUUGGCAGAGUAAGCGCUCAAUAAACUGUGGCUAUUA